rnacentral:lncRNA from 1 species
AAGGAUCGAACUUAAUCUUUGACAGCGAAGGGGACAUUUAUAAUAUAACUUAUGUUUAGCCACAAAGAUUCAAUUAACUAGUAAGUUCGGAUAAAUCCGACUUAAUUCAAAAGACUUAUUACUUAAGAAUACGCAGCGGAAUAACAUAAUCUGAUUACAUGUAUGAAGACAUGUAUCCAAGAGUUCAUUCAUUUAACUUUUGACAAAAGCUCCGCUCUUCACUUCAUCUUCAUCAACCACUGCUCAACCUGCACAUUUAGAAAUAUAUGCAGGGCUGAGUACGAGAGUACUCAGUGGGCACGUAUGCCUAAGUAUAAAAACACAUACUUCAAAACUGUAAAUUGUCAUGCCAUCAUAAACAGUACAGCAAGGGAGUUUUUCGCUAAAAGGCCCAAGCUUACUAAAUUCAUUUGUGAUUCUUAAAGUUCGACUGAUCAGUCUAAGUUCUCUUGUAAUCUAUCAUAUCUGGAACUGUGUGCCGGAGAGGUGGCCACCUCUCACGGUCACUUGACCGGCCAACCCGCUAGAUGACUCACGGUCACUGGUGUACACUAGCCCUGGCAGGAUAGCUAUCAACUGCUCAAGACCCGAAUUCGAUUACAUGAUUAAAGUCACAUCAGAUAGAUAUCAUACUGAAAUUUAAACAUUUUAUGGCAAGACAAUAUUUGAAAUAACUUCAAUUAAUUUAGUCAUGAAAUAACUUGCUUGAACGUAACAUUUAAACUCAUUUGAUAUAUAUGAAAGUAAUGCCCACCUGAUAGAAACUUUCUGUGGUACAUUAGCUCCUUGACUGAUUAUUAAUCUCGUGCUUGACC